AGAGUUUGAUCCUGGCUCAGGAUGAACGCUAGCGACAGGCUUAACACAUGCAAGUCGAGGGGCAGCGGGGAGGUAGCAAUACUUCCGCCGGCGACCGGCGCACGGGUGAGUAACACGUAUGGAACCUGCCCGUAGCAGGGGGAUAAACGGAAGAAAUUCCGUCUAAUACCGCGUAAUAACUCCGAGAGGCAUCUCAUGGAGUUUAAAGGGUAACACCGGCUACGGAUGGCCAUGCGGCGCAUUAGCUAGUUGGCGGGGUAACGGCCCACCAAGGCGACGAUGCGUAGGGGUUCUGAGAGGAAGGUCCCCCACACUGGUACUGAGACACGGACCAGACUCCUACGGGAGGCAGCAGUGAGGAAUAUUGGUCAAUGGCCGGAAGGCUGAACCAGCCAAGUCGCGUGAGGGAAUAAGGCCCUACGGGUCGUAAACCUCUUUUGCCAGGGAGCAAUGCCGUCCACGUGUGGACGGAAGGAGAGUACCUGGAGAAAAAGCAUCGGCUAACUCCGUGCCAGCAGCCGCGGUAAUACGGAGGAUGCGAGCGUUAUCCGGAUUCAUUGGGUUUAAAGGGUGCGCAGGCGGCCUGUUAAGUCAGCGGUAAAAGCCCGGGGCUCAACCCCGGCGAGCCGUUGAAACUGGCGGGCUGGAGUUGGAGAGAAGUACGCGGAAUGCGCGGUGUAGCGGUGAAAUGCUUAGAUAUCGCGCAGAACCCCGAUUGCGAAGGCAGCGUACCGGCUCCACACUGACGCUGAGGCACGAAAGCGUGGGUAUCGAACAGGAUUAGAUACCCUGGUAGUCCACGCAGUAAACGAUGAAUGCUUGCUGUCCGGGCAGUGAUAUGCCUGGGGGGCGAAGCGAAAGCGAUAAGCAUUCCACCUGGGGAGUACGCCGGCAACGGUGAAACUCAAAGGAAUUGACGGGGGCCCGCACAAGCGGAGGAACAUGUGGUUUAAUUCGAUGAUACGCGAGGAACCUUACCCGGGCUUAAAUUGCACCUGAAUAAUGUGGAAACAUGUUAGCCGUAAGGCAGGUGUGAAGGUGCUGCAUGGUUGUCGUCAGCUCGUGCCGUGAGGUGUCGGCUUAAGUGCCAUAACGAGCGCAACCCUUAUCUUCAGUUACUAACAGGUCAUGCUGAGGACUCUGGAGAGACUGCCGUCGUAAGAUGUGAGGAAGGUGGGGAUGACGUCAAAUCAGCACGGCCCUUACGUCCGGGGCUACACACGUGUUACAAUGGGAGGUACAGAAGGCCGCUACCUGGCGACAGGAUGCCAAUCCCCAAAACCUCUCUCAGUUCGGAUCGAAGUCUGCAACCCGACUUCGUGAAGCUGGAUUCGCUAGUAAUCGCGCAUCAGCCAUGGCGCGGUGAAUACGUUCCCGGGCCUUGCACACACCGCCCGUCA
rnacentral:rRNA from 1 species